AGUGGUAGUGAAGAUAAUAUGACCAAAGAUAGUGGAAAAUCUAAUAGUUUGACAAAUGGUCCAACCACUCCUAGAAAUCCAUUAGCUUCUGCCAAACGAGCGUCUAGUACAAAAAAAGUUAAGAAUCGAUGAUCUUCAUUCAACAAACUCAAUAGAGUUUUAAAACAGUUCCAGCGACCGCAGUGAGAACGUAAUGUUAUGUUAAUACUGUUUAACUAACAAAAAUUUUGUAAAUGUGUUAUAACUAUAAUCUAGAGCUUAGAAUUGCUUAUUAUUGUACGAA